rnacentral:rRNA from 1 species
GAUGAACGCUAGCGGCAGGCCUAAUACAUGCAAGCCGAACGGCAAGUCUGUUAGCACUAUUGGACCUAGAGUGGCGCAAGGGUGCGUAACACGUAUGCAACCUGCCCUCGACAGGAGGAUAGCUUCCCGAAAGGGGAAUUAACCCUCCAUAACACCAUGAGAAGGCAUCUGAUCAUGGUUAAACCGCACGGUGUCGCGGAUGGGCAUGCGGUUGAUUAGGUAGUUGGCGGGGUAAAGGCCCACCACGGCGGUGAUCAAUAGGGGUUGUGCGAGGAAGGUCCCCGACACUGGCACUGGGACACGGGCCAGACGCCAGCGGGAGGCAGGAGUAGGGAAUAAUGGGCAGUGGGUGCAAGACUGAACCAGCCAUGGGGCGUGGAGGAAGAAGGCCUUCUAAAGCCUAUUCUGCGUGUAAGAGAAGAUGAAAGACCAGUGCGCGGGGAAUUGAAGGUACCAGGAGAAUAAGCAACGGCUAACUACGUG